UCCAUCCAUUUCCAUCACUUUCUUCAUCAUUUCUGUACCAAAUUCCAGAGAAAUUUUAAAGGGAAGAAGGCUGAGAAAGGAAAAAGAAGAAUUUCAAGAAGUUUUGUUGAAGAAAGACAAGGGAAUUGCAAGCAAAGCUUCAUUCUUGGCAUAAAUUGAUUCACACAGCACACCUCUAAUGUUCUGUUUAUUCCGAGCUACACAAAAAGAACUAAGAGAAAACAGGGCAGCUGGUUUUCACGCGAUUUCAGAAAGUCUGGUUUUUCUUCUUUUGCCGAGAGUACCGGUGGAGUUAGGAUCUCUAUUUGGUAUGAUUGGAAAGCUUAUUCAAUUUACUACAACUUUCAUGAAGCGUGAACCAAAAAGGACAAAAAUAAGUUAAAUUGUAGGAACAAGUUAGUUGGGUCGUGUGCACGUGAUUAUUGAAGUUGUUCUGUUUCGAGGGUUAUCUGAGUUUAUUCAUAGGGAAUCAGAUUUAUAUGUCUUGAGGCCAAGAGGAAAUAGCUCAGAUUUACACAUCAGGAAACUAGUCCAAGACUAUUUCGUUGUUGACGUUGAGUGUACUUCAUUACAAAGAUGCUGUCGUGAGUGCUGGGUGGGUCCCACUACGACAAAGACGAUGGGAGUGCUGGACGGGCCCCACUACAUCAUAGAGCUUGUAAAUGUUGUUGUACUGAGUGUAGGGACACAACGUAGAUUUGUCAUGUUAGUUAAAAUAUUUUGAUACACUUGAUAGACCUUGCUAGAUUUCAAUGACGUAUAUACUGAGUAUUUA